GAUGAACGUUGGCGGCGUGCCUAAUACAUGCAAGUCGAGCGAAUGGAUUAAGAGCUUGCUCUUAUGAAGUUAGCGGCGGACGGGUGAGUAACACGUGGGUAACCUGCCCAUAAGACUGGGAUAACUCCGGGAAACCGGGGCUAAUACCGGAUAACAUUUUGAACCGCAUGGUUCGAAAUUGAAAGGCGGCUUCGGCUGUCACUUAUGGAUGGACCCGCGCCGCAUUAGCUAGUUGGUGAGGUAACGGCUCACCAAGGCAACGAUGCGUAGCCGACCUGGGAGGGUGAUCGGCCACACUGGGACUGAGACACGGCCCAGACUCCUACGGGAGGCAGCAGUAGGGAAUCUUCCGCAAUGGACGAAAGUCUGACGGAGCAACGCCGCGUGAGUGAUGAAGGCUUUCGGGUCGUAAAACUCUGUUGUUAGGGAAGAACAAGUGCUAGUUGAAUAAGCUGGCACCUUGACGGUACCUAACCAGAAAGCCACGGCUAACUACGUGCCAGCCGCCGCUGUAA
rnacentral:rRNA from 1 species